AGAACUACCUGAAUGCCCGAAUAAAUAAUAGUCCUCUCCCGAGGAUAAGGAAUUCUUAGCAGCACCGUUUCAUGGAAGCCACUUCGGAGAAUCCGGUCGAACGACUCGAUCAUAGGCUUGCCGAGAUGAAUAUAGAAGUUGCCAGAUCGUAAGAAGUUCAAAGGAAAACAAAUGAAAAUAAAAAAUACAUUUAUACGACGAGUUGGAUGUAUGUAUGCUACAAAAUAAAAUAUACUUGUUGAUCUGAAGGUGGAUGCAUAUUUAAUUGAUACUGCCUUUUAUAACAUCCUUUUUCCUGCAAACGAUGGUUUCCUUUAUCGAGCGUCCGUGUGUACUAAACACAAACGAAGGAUCUUCAGCAAUCUUAAGUAAAAAGCUAAUAAAACUUACAAAGAUUAUUCCUGGCA
rnacentral:lncRNA from 1 species